UACAGAGGGUGCGAGCGUUGUUCGGAAUUACUGGGCGUAAAGCGCGCGCAGGCGGCCUUUAAGUCUCACCGUUCAAGCCCGGAGCUCAACUCCGGUCCGACGGGGAUACGUGGGAGGCUAGGGACAUGUAGGGGCGAGCGGAAUUCCGGGUGUAGCGGUGGAAUGCGUAGAGAGUCCGGAAGAACACCGGGGGCGAAGGCGGCUCGCUGGGCAUGGUCCGACGCUGAGGCGCGAAAGCUAGGGGAGCAAACGGGG
rnacentral:rRNA from 1 species